UACGGAGGAUGCAAGCGUUAUCCGGAAUGAUUGGGCGUAAAGCGUCCGCAGGUGGCUUUGUAAGUCUGCUGUUAAAGAGUGAGGCUCAACCUCAUAAGAGCAGUGGAAACUACAAGGCUAGAGUACGUUCGGGGCAGAGGGAAUUCCUGGUGUAGCGGUGAAAUGCGCAGAUAUCAGGAAGAACACCCGUGGCGAAGGCGGCUCUCUGGAACGCAACUGACGCUGAGACGCGAAAGCGUGGGGAGCAAACAGG
rnacentral:rRNA from 1 species